rnacentral:misc_RNA from 1 species
ACUAGUUGCAUUAGAAGCUUUUCCCUGUUAUACUGAAAAAGAAUUAUUUUUGUUUUCGGUGGGAUUAAAAGUGGUAAACUUUCUGUCUUGAAGACCUGAGCAAGGAUAGUAACAAUAUGUGUGCAAAGCACACGAGGAGGAUAUAAACAAUGGAACAAGGUAAAGUAAAAUGGUUUAAUGCAGAAAAAGGUUUCGGAUUCAUCGAACGCGAAGCAGGAGACGAUGUAUUCGUACACUUCUCAGCUAUCCAAAGCGAAGGUUUCAAAACACUUGAAGAAGGCCAAGCUGUUACAUUUGAUGUAGAACAAGGUCAACGUGGCCCACAAGCUACAAACGUUCGUAAAGCAUAAUUGAAACCAAUAAAUAAAAAGACUCUCUCGCAGAGUCUUUUUUU